GACUCCUUAGCAUAGUGGUUUAUUGUAAUUGUCUCCAAAGCAGUUGGUCCAGGGUUCAACUCCCUGAGGGGUCU